rnacentral:lncRNA from 1 species
CAAAGGUCUUCCCACCAAAGGUCUUCCCACCAAAGCCUUUUCCUCCACCACUUCCAGUCUACAAGAAGCCACUCCCACCUCCAGUUCCAAUCUACAAGCCAGAGCCAAAACCACCAGUCUUCAAGCCUCCUCCGGUCCCAAUCUACAAGAAGCCACUCCCACCUCCAGUUCCAAUCUACAAGCCAGAGCCAAAACCACCAGUCUUCAAGCCUCCUCCGGUCCCAAUCUACAAGCCAAAACCACCAGUCUUCAAGCCUCCUCCGAUCCCAAUCUACAAGAAGCCACUCCCACCUCCAGUUCCAAUCUACAAGCCAGAGCCAAAACCACCAGUCUUCAAGCCUCCUCCGGUCCCAAUCUACAAGAAGCCACUCCCACCUCCAGUUCCAAUCUACAAGCCAGAGCCAAAACCACCAGUUUUCAAGCCUCCUCCGGUCCCAAUCUACAAGCCAAAACCACCAGUCUUCAAGCCUCCUCCGGUCCCAAUCUAUAAGAAGCCACUCCCACCUCCAGUUCCAAUCUACAAGCCAGAGCCAAAACCACCAGUUUUCAAGCCUCCUCCGGUCCCAAUCUACAAGCCAAAACCACCAGUCUUCAAACCCCCUCCUGUUCCAGUCUACAAACCAAAGCCAAAACCACCAAUCUACAAGCCUCUCCCACCUCCUGUUCCCAUCUCCAAGCCUCUCCCUCCAAUCCCAAAGAUCCCUCCAUUUUAUAAGAAGCCAUUGCCCC